rnacentral:rRNA from 1 species
UACGUAGGGUGCGAGCGUUGUCCGGAAUUACUGGGCGUAAAGCGUGCGUAGGCGGUUUGUUAAGUCUGUCGUGAAAGCCCCGGGCUCAACCUGGGAAUGGCGAUGGAUACUGGCGAGCUAGAGUACGGUAGAGGAGAGUGGAGUUCCCGGUGUAGCAGUGAAAUGCGUAGAGAUCGGGAGGAACAUCAGUUGCGAAGGCGGCUCUCUGGACCAGUACUGACGCUGAGGCACGAAAGCGUGGGGAGCAAACAGG